UUUGGACUGCUUGUGUAUAUAUACAGACAAUCCAAUUGCAUUACUCAUUGAGACAUUUGACUUUGACACAGUACAGAAAGCGAUUUGCUGGUCUUAUAAUCCAUUAUGCUGUCUCCGAAUUACCACCAAGAACGAGAAGUUAGCCAGUCGAGGGUUCAACCAUGUUUUAUUAUCGAGAAUAGAGACACUCUUACUAUGCUCAUGCAUCAAGAUUUUGGACUUCUGAAUUAGUUUUAUUUUUCCAAAGUGGAACUGGCAAAGUGGAAAGGCCAUCACUCAGUGGAAGAGCAUCUGCCUUGCAUGCAGAAGAUCCCCAAUCCCCAGUAUAACCAGAUGUACCGCCAAAAUUCUGGGGGUGGAGUUGAGAAACAAAUCAUGGUUCCAUCAAGAUCCUUUUUGUGGCAUUCUUCCAACGUGCAGCAAUAAAAGCGACAAUAAUUUCAAUAGGAUCAUAUCUAUGAUCUGAUCAAGGUUGCUUUUUUACCGUGUUUUGUCAUCACUGCACAUCAGGCAUACAGAGGAGGGAAAAGAUGCUGAAUGAACUGAAGCUGCAGCAAACUGAACAUGCUCCAAUUCCAGAAUUAAUUUUAGAAAUUCUCCUAACUGAAAAGAAAAUAUCUGAAAUUCUAGGAGUUAUGAUGAUGAUGCCCGCAGAAACAAUAUAAUGCUUUCACCUGCUGGACAAGGAAAGAAAAUGAAGUUUCCAAUGUAACAUGUUUGCAGAAUGAAAAACUUUAACAGACCAGUAGGAUAAGGUUUAAUUUGCAUAAUUUAUAUGGGCCUCAAUAUUAAUCUUGAGUUGCCGUGGCUUGCGUGAGCUUCCCUGGCUUGUAAGCUUCCCAAGGGCAUCAUAUUAUGCCAGCACUUUAUCAUCUUUAGUGACUUCUGGUCUGUUUCUGAGCCCAGUUCAAACUGCUGACUUUGACCUGUAAAGGCUUGACAGCUUGGAACCUCAGUACCUGGAGGAUCAGUUCUCACUACAUGGGCCUACCCAGGCCUUAAGGUAAUCUUCUGAGGCGCUUUUCUGAGCAUCCCAACCAAAUGAGGUGAAAGGGCCUCAUGACUAUGAAAGGGCCUUUUAAGCAGUGCCACCUCACUAGCUGUGGAAUGGCCUCCCCAGGAAGGUCUGCCUGGCACCUACUUUCUGGUGCCAGACAAAUCCUUUUAUUUUUUCUUUCUUUUUAGUUUCCGCAGGUCUUUUAACUUAUUUGUUUAGUAUGGUUUCAGCUCUAUGAAUUUUCACUCUUUUGUUUUGUGGGGUUUUUUAAAAAUAAAAUGUAUGUAAUGCUGCAGGGGUUUUUUAAGCAGGCCUUUUAGUUGUGUUCUAUUUCAUGCUAUAGUUGUGUUCUGUUGUAUUUUUAUUGGGCUUUAUCCAACUGUGCCCCUCCGAUGAUGGAAGGCUAUGGGUGGAAUGGAAAGGAGGCAUUUUUUGCUACUUCCCCCUUCCUUCUGAAGCCCAUUGCAUGUGUGUGUAUGGGCGCGCACGUGCAUGCGUGCACACACAAUCUGCUCCAGAUGGUUGGGAAACCCUUUGGAACAACAACUGAGGUGGCAUGGGGGGGGACUUCAGGCUCCAACAGAAGGAAGGAAUUUGGGACAAUAAGCUUCCUCCCUUUUCCACUCAUAGGAGCCUCUGGUGGCUCAGAGAGCUUUCCAUCAGUAGAGGAACAGAACUGCAUACAACCCAUUGUAUUAUUUUACCUUGUAACCCACCUGGAGAAUUUCUGUUAUGGGGUGUUAAACAGUUAUGUAUAAAUAGUAAUGUAAAAUAGUAUAAACAAGCAAGCAAGCAAGCAAGCAAAUCCUGGGAAGCAGAACACACUAGAUGGACUUUUGGUAUGCUCAAAAUGUGGCUGAUUGUCUGUCUUUGUUUCCAAGCACAUUAGAAUGCAAUUUCUAGUGACAAGAAUUGAGAAGUUUUGACCAUAUAAAUUGUGUGCAUCCGAGUGCUUUAAAAAAUAUUUUGGCAGCGAAAUAGCCCCCUUCUUUCAGACUGAGCACCAUAUCAUUCAUUACGUCUGUUCUGUCUGUUGCUGGUUCCAUGGUGGAGUCAGUAAAAGUUUUGUCGAGUCUCAUUUCCUCCAAGGAAAACUGGAUGGGAGAUGUUGACUUCUGCAUUUUACAGCUCUCUGAGCUUUCAUCCAAAAAUAAGGAGGGGGGUUGUUUAACUAGAACUUUCCAUGCUGGAUCUUUCAGUGGAAAAAGUGGGGGGAACAAAGCAAAAUUGGCCAAUGGGGAAUCAAAGCACUGGGCACAUCUCUGUUGUCAGCCACAAAGAAGGCAGGAAGGUCUGAUGGAUAUGGACCAAGACCUUCAUAGCCUUAUGACUGGCUCCAUCACUAAUUUGUUGCAUGGCUUCAGACAAGAAACUAUACACUUUGGCCAAGUUGUUCGACUCCAUGGAUAGGAGGUUUAGUUAAUAUUUUCACAAUACUUUAGAGAGAAUGGUGCGGUUUCGGUCUGUAAUAGAAUUUGGCUUCCUGGAAUUGAAUCACACAUGAGAGGGCAUUGGUUGAUAUUUUGAUUUUAUGUUUAUUAUUUAUUUCAUUUAUUACAUUUUUAUCCUGCCCUUCCUGCAGGGCAGCAAAGUUAAAGGUAAAUAAAAUGAUUUUAAUAUUACACAUCACUUGACUCACAGCUGUAAAUUCACUCAUUGAAGCACAUUAGAUUUGAAGUGAUGUGAUCUUUCAAAUAUACAAGUCAUCACAACAUUGCAGCUGCAGAGUACUGAACAUUCAGGUGUGAAUUCACCAUCAUCCUCUUCACCAGUUUACAACAGCAACUGGAGAGGGUUGUGGGUUACUAGGAAAUGACUUGGAAACAUAA